UACGUAGGGUGCGAGCGUUUAAUCGGAAUUACUGGGCGUAAAGCGUGCGCAGGCGGCGCGUUAAGACAGGUGUGAAAGCCCCCGAGCUUAACUUGGGAAUUGCGCUUGUGACUGGCGUGCUGGAGUGUGGCAGAGGGAGGUGGAAUUCCACGUGUAGCAGUGAAAUGCGUAGAGAGUGUGGAGGGAACACCGAUGGCGAAGGCAGCCUCCUGGGCCAGCACUGACGCUCAUGCACGAAAGCGUGGGGAGCAAACAGG
rnacentral:rRNA from 1 species